GGCGGCUUUGGUGCAGGCGUUUAUCGCUUGUUUGACUAUGGCGGCAGCUUGGUCAACAACGGCUUGACCGUGGGUGCGACGCCCUCUGGCGUCG
rnacentral:tRNA from 1 species